rnacentral:lncRNA from 1 species
AGCUGUGGGGCCUUGGGUGGGGCUGGAGGACCUUGGGUAGGGUUGGAUGUCUUUAGAUGGGAGUUGGAGAACUUUGGGUGGGUGCUGGAGGACCUUGGGUGAGGUUGGAGCACCCAUGGGUGCCCCCGUGGGGCUGACAGCUCUCUUGCCCCACCGUUUUUGUUGCCUCUCCACCAUCUUCUGUAGGCUUGGAGGACCAGGGGUUGGGUUUGGAAGACCAGGAAUGGGUUUGGAAGACCAGGGAUGGGUUUGGAGGACCUCAGGGUGGGCUUAGAAGACCACGGGUGGGUCUGGACCACCCAUGGGUGCUCUGCCAUGGGGCUGAUGGCCAUCUUGCCCCCCCCCAGGCCCGCCUGACCUGCCCUUGCUGCAACGCCCGCAAGAAGGACGCCGUCCUCACCAAGUGCUUCCACGUCUUCUGCUUUGAGUGCGUCAAGAGCCGCUACGACACCCGCCAGCGCAAGUGCCCCAAGUGCAACGCGGCCUUCGGGGCCCAUGACUUCCACCGCGUCUACAUCAGCUGAGCCCCACGGCCGCCCCACGGCACCCACCGGUGGCCCAUGGUCAACCACAGGUCUUGGAGGUGGGUCUCCAUCACCUUGGAGGACCAUGGUUUGCUUAGUGUUUCUGUUCGUUGAACCCCGUUGCAAUCCUCAGCCAGCCAUGGGUGCCCUACAAGACCUAUGGGUGCCACAUAAUGACCCACAGCACCCAGGGGUGCCCUGUGGUCAACCACAGGUGCUCCUCAGCCAACUGUGGGUCUUGGAGGUGGGUCUACACCACCUUGGAGGACCAUGGUUGGCUUUGUGUUUGUGUUUGUUGAACCCUAUUGUGAUCCUUGGCCACCCAUGGGUGCCCUACAAGACCUAUGGGUGCCCUGGAAGACCUAUGGGUGCCACAUAAUGACACACAGCACCCAGGGGUGCCCCGUGGUCAACCAUAGGUGCUCCUCAGCCAACUGUGGGUCUUGGAGGUGGGUCUACACCACCUUGGAGGACCGUGGUUGGCUUUGUGUUUGUGUGAGUUGAACCCCAUGGUGACCAUUGAUUGACCACCCAGGGGUGCCCCGUGGUGACCUAUGGGUGGCCACAAACCCCAAAUUGGCUCCAGACUAAAAUGCCCCAAAAUCAGACUAAAAUGGCCCAAAACCCCCCCAAAUGAGUCCAGAAUGCCCCAAAAGGAGCCCAAAUGGACCCAAAAUAACCCCAAAUUGGCUCCAGACUAAAAUGCCCCAAAAUCAGACUAAAAUGACCCAAAACUCCCCCCAAAUGAGUCCAGAAUGCCCCAAAAGGAGCCCAAAUGCACCCAAAAUAACCCCAAAUUGGCUCCAGACUAAAAUGCCCCAAAAUCAGAAUAAAAUGGCCCAAAACUCCCCCCCA